CUCUUUCUCUCUCAUCGAUCCUCUCUCUAUUUGUAGGAAUCGUUUUUCUCUUCGCGCCAUUUUCAGUGAGGAGGAGAGUUAAUGCCGACGCAAGGAAAAAGGGCUUUCCAUUGUCUCCAAUCAAAACCCAUUUCAGAUUUCAACUGUUACUGUAGAAUUGCGUUAUGGGGAUGCCUUAAGACUGCUGUAUAUGGUAGAGGAAGCAUCCAAAGGGGAUUCAAUGACAUUUGUGGCAGUGGGGGGAGCUCAUCUACUAACUAGAACACACCUUGGUUAGCAUUUUAUUUUCUUGCCUAAUAAGCAAUGUUUAUUAACCUCUCAUUGGCUUGGAUAUUUGUGGAAUUUUGAGGUCUUACAAACAUUUUUUAGUUGCAAAUGGUUUAGGCCCUCUUGGAUAUUCUCUAGAUUUUAUUUUGGACUAUUGAGGUACUAUAUUUCUUUGUCUAUCUUUAUUUGAUUCUAGUUGUUUGGGUCA